rnacentral:lncRNA from 1 species
AACAGCCAUUAUGCAAGAGACACUGGAGAUAUUGACUAGAAGAAAAAAGCAGAACAUCAUAAAUGACAGAUCCAUGACUGAUUUACUGGAAACUUGGACUUUUUUUAUUGAAGAAGAACGGAAAAAUAUAAUUGACCACGAGGCACAAGCCUCGGAAAUACGGAACUUUAUUUUAAUUUUAUCGUGUUUUAUUAAUGUAUUCGAUGAGUUAUAUUUUUAUAAUUUAUUUUAUUUACUUAAUAUUUAAACUUAUUAUAAGCAUAUUUAACAACCGUUUAAGUUAUAAUCUAAUUUAAAUUUUUGUUUAUUGCGUUCGAUAUUCUAUGUUCUUUUACGUUUUUCACUGUGAAUUCUAUUCCAUGUAUGUAAGCCUGAGGAUGACAACAGCUAAUUGUUGAAAACGUUUGCAGUAAUAAACUGUCCCUGUCUAACUGCAAUAAGUGCUGGUGUGUUCGUAUGCAUUGACAAUCAUAAAAAUAUUAUUAUUAUUA